CGUGCAACAAAAUACCGUGUUCAACGAAAAAUAUUUACACGUUCUUUAAAAAAAUAAAAAACGUUUAGAUCGUUCGGUUUUGAGAAGAAUUACACACAAGUUAUGCAAAUAUAUACAAAAAUUUCUUAAGCUGCGAAAGAAAAGAUGCUUUCGCGUGAUAUUCUGCAUACAGACAAUUCACGACAGCGAGGGAAUGGGGAAUUUAUUAAAAGAUUGAAUUAAAAGAACGUGCAGAAAAUGAAAAUAAUAAUAGCUACAUACUACGGUAAAGAAAAACGAAGCGUGGGUGCAAGAUUUUAUUUCACGUGUCGGAUUUGUACGAAUAAUUG